rnacentral:rRNA from 1 species
UAGGGAAUCUUCCGCAAUGGACGCAAGUCUGACGGAGCAACGCCGCGUGAGUGAAGAAGGAUUUCGGUUCGUAAAACUCUGUUGUUAGAGAAGAACAGCGCGUAGAGUAACUGUUAUGCGUGUGACGGUAUCUAACCAGAAAGCCACGGCUAACUACGUGCCAGCAGCCGCGGUAAUACGUAGGUGGCAAGCGUUGUCCGGAUUUAUUGGGCGUAAAGCGAGCGCAGGCGGUCAAUUAAGUCUGAUGUGAAAGCCCCCGGCUCAACCGGGGAGGGUCAUUGGAAACUGGUUGACUUGAGUGCAGAAGAGGAGGGUGGAAUUCCAUGUGUAGCGGUGAAAUGCGUAGAUAUAUGGAGGAACACCAGUGGCGAAGGCGACUCUCUGGUCUGUAACUGACGCUGAGGCUCGAAAGCGUGGGUAGCAAACAGG